GGUGGUUGUUUCUCACUCCCAGGACUUUCUAAAUGGUGUCUGCACAAAUAUCAUACACAUGCAGAGCAGACAGUUGAAAAUGUAUACAGGAAACUUUGACCAAUAUGUUCAAACCCGUUCAGAACUCGAGGAGAACCAGAUGAAGCAGUACAAGUGGNAUCAUACACAUGCAGAGCAAACAGUUGAAAAUGUAUACAGGAAAUUUUGACCAAUAUGUUCAAACCCGUUCAGAACUCGAGGAGAACCAGAUGAAGCAGUACAAGUGGGAGCAGGAUCAGAUUGCUAAUAUGAAAGAGUACAUUGCUCGAUUUGGACAUGGUUCAGCUAAAUUAGCUCGCCAGGCACAGAGCAAAGAAAAAACUUUAGCAAAAAUGGAGCGUGGUGGCCUCACACAGAAAGUGGUUAGGGACCAGGUUCUGGUUUUCCGAUUCGUUGAUGUAGGGAAACNUGGCUAUACCCCAGAUAAC
rnacentral:lncRNA from 1 species